GGAGGUUGGGAAUGACAGUUGAAGCUGGGCAGUUGGAUGGGAAUGGAACGUGCAGCAGCAGAAGAACCUUCGAGAGCAGGGGAGGAAGGAGCAGGCAGCAAGGGAGGGGAGAGGAUGGAUAGGUACUUUUCCAUGGAAAGGCGGCUGUAGAAGAUCAGAUUCAUGCGUUGGGGAGAAGACUAUUUAAUCAAGGUAUCAGCUCUUGGUCUUCAGCUGGUCUGCAAAAUCUUGGAAGUAUACAAAAGGCUGGGGACCCAGAUCAAGAUAAAAGAUGUUGCCUCUACCUCAAGAUUAUGCCUAGAACAAGAACAACUCGUUAGGAUGACUGAAACACACAGACAAGUUUCCCCUUUCAUAGCUGCAAGUAUUAAGAUAUUUCUUGUUUUGGAAUUUCCAUUACUUAUGGCAGAAGACUGUCCUCACUAGAAGUGAAGAAUGUAAAAUGACAGAAAAUUGAUUAGAUGACCCAGCAGGAAAAUAAAGAGAAAGAAAAGAUAUGUGCCUUUAUCCAAAGAUUCUAGCUCCUCUAGCAGAGGAGAGUCUCCAUUUCCUUAAUUGCUUUUUAAUUCCUCUCCUGAGCUUUGGAUGGGGUGGAGUGGGAACCCCCUAUUCUUGCAGUAUUGUUCAGAAUAAAAAUCAUCAUGAUCUGACAUAGGAAAAAAAAUCAGUUGGGAGUUAACCUUCUAACCUUCUUAUAGACUGCCAAGGUUUAAAAAGAACCUGUGUCUUUGAAACAGCACUUAAUUUAAUUGUGUACAGGGACUGCAUAAAAUGCUCCAAAAUCAAGUCCUCAUCAAAUGCUCAACAUUGCU